UUAUAUUCCCCAUAAAAUCUAUGGGGCCCGCGAAUUCGAACCUAUUUUGAAUGCAUGGUCCCAGAGGGCCGGCUUCUCCCUCCUGCAUGCUAGCCUCUCCGCUUUUCGUAGUCUCGCAUCAUGUAACGAUCCAAGCUCCGUACAGCAGCAGCGACCUCAUCAGAAGAAGAAGCCACGAGUUCCUAAGCUGAGGAGCCGCCACUUCAAGACUUCGAGAAGGCAGAGACCGUCGUCAGGAAGAAGAAGAAGCAGGAGGAGGAGGAGAUCUUGAUGAGCUUGAAAGUCCACGCUUUUGGUGAUUCUUCCCUCGUGCUGCCUCUCUUCUUCCUUGCGUAGCAACACCGUACUACAUCUCUCUCUCUCUGAGUGUGUCUCUCUGUGCAUUCUUUCAUCCAUGAGGCAAGUAUUUCGAGUAGGGUUCAGGGGUUUCGCCACCCCUUCUUUGAGGUUCGUCCGGGUACCUCUCAUUUUUGCGUGAAUUUUAUAGUUUUUCUUUCCAGAUGACUACCUUUUCACUUCAGUCGGUCCUUCAGCAAAAGCGACUGCUAAGCGACAAUGCGACGGCAGUUUCAAAUCCUGGGUUUCGCUCUGUGAUGCUAAGCCUUGCUUUGGUUCCUUAAAAUGUUGUUAACUUUUCCGCACGUUGUAGCUUCACGGCUGCUCCAAGAUUCUGGGUUGGUCGUUCUAUCGUCUUGCUCGGAGCGAGCGAAAUGGUGUCCGAAAGGGGCGUGUCGAAUUUGUUGACACCUGAGUCGGCGGCGACUUUUGAGGACAAGAAAGGGAAGAAAUCGAAAGGAUCGGUAGUUUCAGUUCCUAGUUCUACCAAAAGUCAUGUCAAGGUAUUGUCUUUUAAUCGAACCUAUCGUUCCACCUGUGUUUUGGGGACUUGACCAUUUAGCAUUCAUUUUUUCUGCAAAAAAAUUCUGGUGCAAGCAUUGAUGAAGUCGUGUUGCCUAAUAAUGACCUGGCCAAAAUUGAGGCAAUGACAUUUCACGAAUUGAGAGCUACAUUGAGCAUGUGGGAAGAGUACAUGGAACGACUGGAUUGAAGGACUGGCUCCCUACCUACUGUUGUAGUUCAGAGGCAUUCUGAUUUGUUACAGCGAGUGCAUUUGACCCCAAAUGAAUUGUCAUAUUUUGACCGAGAAUGUUGGAGUCUGUAUAGACAUUCUGAUGUUUUAAUCUAGUUAAUUGAUACAAUAAUAUGCUUGUAGUAGGGUUAGUCCAUUUGCUUUGUGUCUAUUCGAAUGAAAUGCUUCUCAUCUUAAAUAAAGAUCACAGCCAAUGAUCAGUUAAGUUACUUAUGAGAUAUAAUUAGCAUCUCAAGUGAUGUUGGAUGAAUAAUAAAAUUGACAUGAGUUGCACUUUGUAUGUCAGAAACGCAAACGUACUACCUUUUCUCUAUAUUAAUUUGUGUUAGGUGGAUACCGUGCCUUCUGGUUUUCUCCUACAUUUGGCUUUUUUGGAUUAUUAUUGUUGAGGUUAUUACUAGUUUUUUUUUGUGCAGAUAAAGCCCCUUUCACUUACAUAUGGCUUGGGCAUAUCAGAUCAUGAUUCUGAGGGACGGCUUGUCAUUGCAGAGCUUGAUUCGUUCUAUGUCUUGAGCGGUUACAUUCCUAAUUCCAGUGACGGCCUGAGAAGACUGACGUAUAGGAUUUCACAGUGGGAUCCAUCUCUUGGUAACUACAUAAAGUAUGUUCAGCACUAUGUAGCCCUUUUGUUUUUUGAUAAAGCUAUUUAGACUUUUGUUCUGGAGUCAUUAUUCACCAUAUCAUGGAUCAAUUCUACAACCUAUAAAGGAACUUGAAAAGUCGAAGCCCGUGAUUUUGACUGGCGAUCUGAAUUGUGCCCAUCAGGAAAUAGACAUUUAUGAUCCUGCGGACAAUGUCCUGGCCACACCAUAUGCCCCCCACCCCACUUAAAAGGAGGGGAAAAAACAGAGAAGAGGACUAUAAUCAGG